UGGAAAUGUAGAGGACAACUGUAAACAAACAAUAGCAUUACUAAGACUUUAACUUUGUGGAAAUCCAAAUAAACAUCCAGGCUCUUUAUGAAGUCUGCAGCCCUUCUCACGCGUACCUGUUUCCCCAAGGAUGAAACUAAUAUCAUCAGGUUGUUUAUCUAUGUGUGCACAAAAAAUGAUGAGCUCCAGGCAUUUAUCUAUGUGUACACAAAAAAUGAUGAGCUCCAGGCAUUUAUCUAUGUGUGCACAAAAAAUGAUGAGCUCCAGGCAUUUAUCUAUGUGUGCACAAAAAAUGAUGAGCUCCAGGCAUUUAUCUAUGUGUGCACAAAAAAUGAUGAGCUCCAGGCAUUUAUCUAUGUGUGCACAAAAAAUGAUGAGCUCCAGGCAUUUAUCUAUGUGUGCACAAAAAAUGAUGAGCUCCAGGCAUUUAUCUAUGUGUGCACAAAAAAUGAUGAGCUCCAGGCAUUUAUCUAUGUGUGCACAAAAAAUGAUGAGCUCCAGGCAUUUAUCUAUGUGUGCACAAAAAAUGAUGAGCUCCAGGCAUUUAUCUAUGUGUGCACAAAAAAUGAUGAGCUCCAGGCAUUUAUCUAUGUGUGCACAAAAAAUGAUGAGCUCCAGGCAUUUAUCUAUGUGUGCACAAAAAAUGAUGAGCUCCAGGCAUUUAUCUAUGUGUGCACAAAAAAUGAUGAGCUCCAGGCAUUUAUCUAUGUGUGCACAAAAAAUGAUGAGCUCCAGGCAUUUAUCUAUGUGUGCACAAAAAAUGAUGAGCUCCAGGCAUUUAUCUAUGUGUGCACAAAAAAUGAUGAGCUCCAGGCAUUUAUCUAUGUGUGCACAAAAAAUGAUGAGCUCCAGGCAUUUAUCUAUGUGUGCACAAAAAAUGAUGAGCUCCAGGCAUUUAUCUAUGUGUGCACAAAAAAUGAUGAGCUCCAGGCAUUUAUCUAUGUGUGCACAAAAAAUGAUGAGCUCCAGGCAUUUAUCUAUGUGUGCACAAAAAAUGAUGAGCUCCAGGCAUUUAUCUAUGUGUGCACAAAAAAUGAUGAGCUCCAGGCAUUUAAUCGGAAUGAGACGCCUGAAACUUGUCUUCUUGAAACGCAUAGAAACUGCCAAGCAAACUCUUUGCCUAGGUGUCUGCAGGACAGCUGUGGAAGUAGUCUAGCUGUUAUUCCAGAAUUAUUACUGUGGGGUCAAUGGACAGAGUCUAAGCGGGCAAUUGAAACCAGUAAUUUGGGGCCUUAAAGGCUGGUGCAGAAUGGUCAAGCAGAAAGCUGCUUCCUUGAUUGAAAAGGGGCAGGGAGAGAAUGUUCCCGGACAGGUGUACUGGAACUGUAGUCGCAAAAGGGAAAGGCAGAGGCACUCACAGGGUGUCUGGGGCCCGUGGGGACUGAGGGAAGAGAGAAUGGGUGAUUGCCAGAGAACCUCCAUCUGUGUCUCCUGCUUUGUAACCAGGUCUGCUGUAAAGGGGAGCAGACACUGCCUAAGGCACUUGACUUGAGGAAAGCUCUUCUUGGUGAAGUGUUUUAAAGCUUCAAGGAAUGACCCAAAGACAGAAACACACUGUGUCUGAUUAAUGAAGCUACGAGCUCAGGAUCUGUAAUUUUAAUGAACACACAGCAACAGUAAGAACAAAUAGGAACAUGGAAUUGAAAAAGUCACAGAGAUCUGAAUAACUCACACAGAAGGCUAUUCAAAGAUUAAAUGAUUUAAAAAAAUACACCUGUAUAAAAAUAAACACUUUCCCCCAUAGUGCAUUUGAGACCACAGAAAUGUCACUGUCUCUACCCCACAUCUUUAAAUUUAUCUUCUCAGGUCAUAACAGUAAGUCUUCCCAAAGCAGACCUUCCAAAAAGACAGGCUGUUUCCUCAGCUGUAACUUCCUGCUUCUUUGUGACAUGAACCAACAAUCUAUCUAAGAGGCUUGUGUGUGUGUGUGUACACAUUUGCACACACAUACAUACAUACACGCAUACAUAUACACAUACACACAUACAUACAUACAUACAUACAUACACACAUAUAUACAUCAUACAUAUUGGGAAGUUAGAAGGAGGUAUUCUACCAGCAAGCCCAUAGUUGUCACCAGUCAUAAGAUUAGCUAUAGGUACAAAGGGAUAUGUCAACAUUACUGGCUGUAUUAGUCAGGGUUCUCUAGAGUCACAGAACUUAUGGAUAGUCUCUAGAUAGUAAAGGAAUUUAUUGAUGACUUACAGUCGGCAGCCCAAUUCCCAACAAUUGUUCAGUCGCAGCUGUGAAUGGAAGUCCAAGGAUCUAGCAGUUACUCAGUCUCACGCAGCAAGCAGGCGAAGGAGCAGGAGCAAGAGCUGGACUCCCUUCUUCCAAUGUCCUUAUAUUGUCUCCAGCAGAAGGUGUAGCCCAGAUUAAAGGUGUGUUCCUUAAACUCGGAGAUUCAAUCUUCUGGAAUCCAUAGCCACUAUGGCUCAAGAUCUCCAAACCAAGAUCCAGAUAAGGAUCUCCAAGCCUCCAGAUAAGGGUCACUGGUGAGCCUUCCAAUUCCGGAUUGUAGUUCAUUCCAAAUAUUGUCAAGUUGACAACCAGGAAUAGCCACUACACUGGCCAAAAAAAAAAAAAAAAAAAAUCCGGUGACAGCUUGUGAGUAAGUUCAUCUUGCUUACGAUGGAGACCCCACUGUAGGUAUUGACAAGGUAAGCUAAAUAGUCACAGCGCCUCAAACCUCAUGCACCCUAGUUGUUGAGGAGUUAAACCAUGGUGGAAGGAGAGAACCGACUCCUACAUGGCGUCCUCCACUUUAAGAGUGAUUGAUGAUAUAAGAAUGUUCCAAAAAUAACUUUAAAGCCAUUCAGCAAUGGUUUCCUCUCUGUGCACAGAGGAGUGGACUCGGUAGGACUGGGGAUGGGGUGCACACAAAGAGAACAUGAGGCAAUAUAUUAAAAUUUAGUAACUUGAGUAUACAAGAAUUCCUUUUUUGUUUUUACAACUAUUCUAUAAAUUUAGCAUUGUUUCAAGAGAAAA